rnacentral:ribozyme from 1 species
AAACAUUGAUAUAGUCAGUCAAUAUAAGUAAUCAUCUCUUUUUUCCUUUUUUUCGUUUUUUUCUUUGUCCUUUUUUUCUACUU